rnacentral:tRNA from 1 species
UAGCGUAGUGGUUAAGGCUAUGGAUUGCCAAUCCGGAGACAGCGGGUUCGAUUCCCGU